CUGAUGUGUAUUGGUGACUGCAUGUUGUACAAGGGGUGCAACGCAGUAAAUUUCAACAGAAGUCAUUUUGAAUGUGAAUUACUAAAUGUUUUUCCUGGUGACAUUAUAAUUGACAUGGAUAAUUCAAUUUAUACAGAUAUUGGUGGUUGGAUGAGGGUAAGUUGUUGUUAUUAAAGAUUCUUAUACUUUUCCAUUUUCAAUGUUUGCUCAAUUCUGAUUAUCAGACGUAAAUACUUAUCUGUUCGAACCAUUGAUAUUCUAUGGUAGUGUCGAUGCGCUGAUAAAAUGAAAAACAAUGAUGGUCGAGCGUGCAAUCCAAAAAAUAUCACAUUAAUCUACAGUUUGUUUCAAUAGUUGCUUUGUUGAUUUGUUGUUGUUUAACCAAACCUAUAACCAAAGUAAUCUGAUGAGUCUUUAAAGUUUUAGCCUGUUAAACUCAGUACUAACCUCGUUUGAGCGGACCAUUGUACAUAGUAACUCAAUUUACCUAAAGUAGUUAUAUCCCACAACCACUAUUUCGCUUCAUUGUGUCUUAAGGAAUGUAUUGCUCCUUUUUAUUUUAUAAAUUAUAAGAACACCAGAGAUUUUUAGGAAAUCUCUGGUUUUAUCCAUGCAUUGACAUGAAAAAAUAUUGCCCACUUAACCCCUUCUUUUCUUUCCAUAAUUUGUUAAACAUCAAAGUUUAAAGAAGCAGUAUACUCCAAAAAUCUUAUAUAUAAAAUUCUUAUUAUAUCAUAUCUUAUUUUGAAACAAAAACAGGGUUGGCAAUGUGAAUCUAUGAAAAACUCUAGAGGAGGAAUUAAGUUUCCCGCCCAAAUUUUCAUACGGCAUAAUAUCUCGAAACCAAAGGCAAACGGGACCCUCCAUUUUUCUGCUUUUUUUUAGUUUCGUCUUAUUUAUAACUUAUCAGUUUCAUAAGCAGUCUUUACAACAGCUUUUAUUUUUUUAAUUUGGAGUAGCGGAACACCUUACAACAUAUUAGUGCAUAUCGGAACUAACUACACAAAGGUUCCUGGUUCGAUUCCCGUUCUGGGAAAGAGAAAUUUCAGGGACUAAAUUUUCGGCUUCUCCCUUAACCACCAUUUGUGAGUAUGGGAACUUGAGGAAACCGAUGAUAGUCCGUCCGGAAGGGGACCCGAUAAAUGCUGACCCGUGUUAAGAGAGGAGCCAUAUUCACUUGCAGCGUUAAAGACACUCUUGUUGAUUUCGAAAAAGAGCAGGACUAAAUGCCCUACAAAGGCAGCACUGCACCACGCAAAAGUGGAAAGGAAAUUAUUAUAAUAAUUGCAAAACUUGUUUCCCAAUCCACUAUGAAUAUAUAUGUUUCAACUUAUGAUUUGAAAAUUCCUUUAGAAAAUGGCAAUUUCUCAUAUUUAGUUUGAUCCAAAUAAACUCAUCAUAGAGACCAGGGAUGCAAUUUUGUAUUAGCGUCAUACUUGCCAAUAUAUGUCUUAUUAAUCAAGUAUUAAUCAAUGGCUAUGCCAAUUUUGAAAUGUCUUCUGAUGUCAGUUAUGAUAAUAUAACAAAGGACAAUUCUAAGCUAAACAACCUCGCCUCAUAUUCAUAUCAGAACAAUGUAAGCGGUUGAUUAUAGUCUAUCUUCACGGGUCUUGAUUAUUUGAAGAAAUUGUGUAAGGUUGGAAAAAUCUAUAAUUGGUUGGGUUUAAUUUAUUCGCAACUGUUAGAGACCCGGGACGAGAAACAGCGUGACAUUGUUGUCCCAUUAUGUAAAAACACUUUUGUUGAAGACCGUAUUUUGACCUAUACAUUGAGUUUUUUUGUUCUAAUGUUCGGUUGUUGUCUUGUUUUUCAAUUGUAGUUUUUAAUCAAAAUAUAUGCAUCCAUAAAGGUAAUUAAGAUGAAGGUAAAAGGAUUGAAGAAUGUUACACUUUUUCGCCAUCUCAUGAGUACCAAAUAGAUACCAUUGUUUUUUAACAUCCUUAUGAUUUAUGUAACCUUUAUGCAGUUUCAAAACCAGUAUGAUAUAUUUCCGUUGAUACCAUGUUGAUACACCAAAACAACUUUAAAUGCAUUUAGACACACAGUCUUCAUCAAUUGAUAGUGGUAAAUGCAACAAGUCAAGCUUUUAAUGGUUCCGAAUGCAAGUUAAGUUGAAGAAUUCAACCCAAAGAUAUAGAAAUGUUGACCCACAAUUUGAAUUUCAACAAACUUUAAGGGGUAGUGGUUCACAAGGUAGUACCUUAUAGAAAGGCAUUUAUAAUAGAAGUACCAGUAUGUAGUUUCCUCGAUUAAUUUUUAAACGAAAUUUUGAUGUUUUCUGUGUUAUUUAACAAUUUAUUUUUGAAAAUAUUCAUGAAAAAGGUUAACAAUUAUAUGGUAAUUUUUAUAAAUCUACUGUUUGCAAAAGUAUGAAUUAUUCGAAAUACUAAGGAAUUUCUAACCUUAGCCGUAUUUGGAACAACUUUUUGGAAUUUUUAGUAAUCAAUGCUGUUCAACUUUGUACCUGUUUGACUUCCUAAUUAUUUAAAUCUGAGCGUCACUGAUGAGUCUUAUAUAGACGAUAUGCGCGUCUGGCGUAUUAAAAAGCCUGGUACCUUUGAUAACUAUUUACACUAAUCUUUACCUUGAUUUCUAAGUAUUCAUCUAAUACUAAUGCCUUGAAUAUUUUCAUACAAAAAGCAAUUUCGGACAGAUUUCUAAAUGUAUACACUAUUUUACAUAUUUAAAGGAUAAAGACGGAUGCACUAUAAACCCAUGUGAAGUGGGCCAAAAAUGUAUAUCUGCCAUGUACAAUCAGACAAUAUGCCUAACAUUUGGUA
rnacentral:lncRNA from 1 species